rnacentral:rRNA from 1 species
CGAUCGGUAGCCGGACUGAGAGGUUGAACGGCCACAUUGGGACUGAGACACGGCCCAGACUCCUACGGGAGGCAGCAGUGGGGAAUAUUGCACAAUGGGGGAAACCCUGAUGCAGCGACGCCGCGUGGAGGAAGAAGGUCUUCGGAUUGUAAACUCCUGUUGUUGAGGAAGAUAAUGACGGUACUCAACAAGGAAGUGACGGCUAACUACGUGCCAGCAGCCGCGGUAAAACGUAGGUCACAAGCGUUGUCCGGAAUUACUGGGUGUAAAGGGAGCGCAGGCAGGCGAUCAAGUUGGAAGUGAAAUCCAUGGGCUCAACCCAUGAACUGCUUUCAAAACUGAUUGUCUUGAGUAGUGCAGAGGUAGGCGGAAUUCCCGGUGUAGCGGUGGAAUGCGUAGAUAUCGGGAGGAACACCAGUGGCGAAGGCGGCCUACUGGGCACCAACUGACGCUGAGGCUCGAAAGUGUGGGUAGCAAACAGGAUUAGAUACCCUGGUAGUCCACACCGUAAACGAUGAUUACUAGGUGUUGGAGGAUUGACCCCUUCAGUGCCGCAGUUAACACAAUAAGUAAUCCACCUGGGGAGUACGACCGCAAGGUUGUAACUCAAAGGAAUUGACGGGGGCCCGCACAAGCAGUGGAGUAUGUGUUUAAUUCGACGCAACGCGAAGAACCUUACCAAGUCUUGACAUCCUGCGACGGACAUAGAAAUAUGUUUUUCCUUCGGGACGCAGAGACAGGUGGUGCAUGGUUGUCGUCAGCUCGUGUCGUGAGAUGUUGGGUUAAGUCCCGCAACGAGCGCAACCCUUAUGGUCAGUUACUACGCAAGAGGACUCUGGCCAGACUGCCGUUGACAAAACGGAGGAAGGUGGGGAUGACGUCAAAUCAUCAUGCCCUUUAUGACUUGGGCUACACACGUACUACAAUGGCGUUAAACAAAGAGAAGCAAGACCGCGAGGUGGAGCAAAACUCAGAAACAACGUCCCAGUUCGGACUGCAGGCUGCAACUCGCCUGCACGAAGUCGGAAUUGCUAGUAACCGCAGAUCAGCAUGCUGCGGUGAAUACGUUCCCGGGCCUUGUACACACCGCCCGUCACACCAUGAGAGCCGGGGGGACCCGAAGUCGGUAGUCUAACCGCAAGGAGGACGCCGCCGAAGGUAAAACUGGUGAUUGGGGUGAAGUCGUAACAAGGUAGCCGUACUAGUACG